rnacentral:rRNA from 1 species
ACUCAAAUGAAUAGACGGGGGCCCGCACAAGCGGUGGAACAUGUGGUUUAAUUCGACGCAACGCGAAGAACCUUACCUGGGUUUGACAUCCCGUGCUAUCCCUUGAAAGAGGGAGUUCUCUUCGGAGACGCGGAGACAGGUGCUGCAUGGCUGUCGUCAGCUCGUGUCGUGAGAUGUUGGGUUAAGUCCCGCAACGAGCGCAACCCUCGUCCUUAGUUGCCAUCGGGUCAUGCUGGGCACUCUAAGGAGACUGCCGGUGAUAAGCCGGAGGAAGGUGGGGAUGACGUCAAGUCCUCAUGGCCUUUAUAUCCAGGGCUACACACGUGUUACAAUGGGGGAUACAAAGAGACGCCAGACCGCGAGGUUGAGCAAAUCUCAAAAAAACCCUCUCAGUUCGGAUUGCAGUCUGCAACUCGACUGCAUGAAGUUGGAAUCGCUAGUAAUCGCGGAUCAGAACGCCGCGGUGAAUACGUUCCCGGGCCUUGCACACACCGCCCGU